UCCUGUCUGAACUCAGUUGGUAGAGCAUGAGACUCUUAAUCUCAGAGUUGUGGGUUUGAAUCCAGUGUUGGGCA